UACGAAGGGGGCUAGCGUUGCUCGGAAUCACUGGGCGUAAAGGGUGCGUAGGCGGCGCGGUAAGUCGGGUGUGAAAUCUUGGAGCUUAACUCCGAAACUGCAUUCGAUACUGCCGUGCUUGAGGACUGGAGAGGAGACUGGAAUUUACGGUGUAGCGGUGAAAUGCGUAGAGAUCCGGAGGAACCCCAGAGGCGAAGGCGGCGCCCUGGCUCGCAACUGACGCUCAGACACGACAGCAUGGGGAGCGAACGGG
rnacentral:rRNA from 1 species